UUUGAUCCUGGCUCAGGAUGAACGCUAGCGGUGCGCCUAAUACAUGCAAGUCGAGCGAUAUAGCGGCGAACGGGUGAGUAACACGUUGGAACCUGCCCCAGACUCAGGGAUAGCCUACCGAAAGGUGGAUUAAUACCGGAUAGUCCCGAAAGGGUAAAGAUUUAUCGGUCUGGGAGGGGCCUCGCAGUAUCAGCUUGUUGGUAGUGUAACGGACUACCAAGGCUACGACGCUUAACUGGUCUGAGAGGAUGAUCAGUCACAAUGGAACUGAGAUACGGUCCAUACUCCUACGGGAGGCAGCAGUAAGGAAUCUUCCGCAAUGGGCGAAAGCCUGACGGAGCGACACCGCGUGGUGGAUGACGGCCUUUUGGUUGUAAACACCUUUUCUGGGGGAAUAAAUGAUGAAGGUACCCCAGGAAUAAGCACCGGCUAACUACGUGCCAGCAGCCGCGGUAAUACGUAGGGUGCAAGCGUUAUCCGGAAUUAUUGGGAGUAAAGCGUGCGUAGGCUGUUUAGUAUGUUUGAGAUUAAAUCUGGUCGCUCAACGAUCAACUCGUCUCAAAAACUGCUAGACUAGAGAAUGACAGAGGCAACUGGAAUUCUGCAUGUAGGGGUAAAAUCCGUUGAUAUGCAGAGGAACACCAAAAGCGAAGGCAGGUUGCUGGGUCAUUUCUGACGCUGUUGCACGAAAGCGUGGGUAGCGAACAGGAUUAGAUACCCUGGUAGUCCACGCCGUAAACGAUGGAUACUCGGUUUGAGAGGGACUCGACCCCCUUUUGAGCCUAAGCUAACGCGUUAAGUAUCCCGCCUGGGGAGUACGGUCGCAAGAUUAAAACUCAAAGGAAUAGACGGGGACCCACACAAGCGGUGGAGCAUGUGGUUUAAUUCGACAAUAAGCGGGGAACCUUACCCAGACUUGACAUCUCCGGAACUCAAUAGAAAUAUUGAGGUGCCGCAAGGAACCGGAUGACAGGUGCUGCAUGGUCGUCGUCAGCUCGUGCCUUGAGGUGUUCGGUUAAGUCCGUAAACGAGCGCAACCCAUGUCUUGUGUUGCAUUUUUCACAAGAGACUGCCGGCUCUAAGUCGGAGGAAGGUAUGGAUGACGUCAGAUCAGCAUGGCCCUUAUGUCUGGGGCAACACACGUGCUACAAUGGCCGGUACAAUGAGCAGCGAACUCGUAAGAGGGAGCCAAUCUCAUCAAAGCCGGUCUAAGUUCGGAUUGAGGGCUGCAAUUCGCCCUCAUGAAGUUGGAAUCGCUAGUAAACGCGGAUCAGCUAUGCCGCGUUGAAUAUGUUCCUGGGUCUUGUACUACCGCCCGUCAUAUCAUGAAAGGUGGGGGUACCCGAAGUCGCCUUAGCUUUUCGGAGCGGGUGCCUAAGGUAAACUCACUGAUUGGGAUAAAGUCGUAACAAGGUA
rnacentral:rRNA from 1 species